UUUGAAUCUUACUUUGUUAGGUUGUUCUAGCUUUGUCAUUUAAGCAUUCCAUUAGCUAACUAAGAUAGCUAGAUACUGUAUAUCUGGCUAACUAGCUUUAACAAGGAUGGUAACUAGCUUUAGCAAGGGUGGUCAGGCAAAGUUCUGAUUUGGGUGAUUAGCAACAGACCAAAUUUGACCUAUAAAAUGAACAUUUCGGUAACAAAGAUAUACCUCUAAGCUAUUAUCCUGAUAAAAUGAAUUUGCUAGAGUGCAUUGAGCAGGCAUACUGCUGAACAGCAUCCAACUACUUCCCUAAAGAGUAUAUGGUAGCUAUGAUUCUAAUAUCUUAAUUUUCUGUUUCAGUGAGUAACAUCUGUCUUCAAAGAAUGGACCAUCUGAUUGACGACCCAAAGCACUCUGACUACUAGUUCUGUGCACACUGUGGGAAACCUGCAGAUAUUUCCUGAGGAAGAGGGUGUCUAAAGAAGUGCUUCCCACGCUGAUUGCCUCGCUGUCCAAACAGGCUCCAGUGAGUGCCAGGGCCGGCCCAGUUUACAGCCACACCCAUCCUACAACCUGCAGUUGGCUGUGCUGCAGGGCCUGGGGACUCUCUGCCUCCGACUGGACCUAGGGGACUCAGACCUGGAUGCUGUAACUGAAGCCUGAAUAGCGAGCGUUCUCUGGAGUGAUGAAUCACACUUCACCACCUGGCAGGCCGAAGGACAAAUCUUAUGGCGGAUGCCAGGAGAACGCUACCUGCCCCAAUGCGUAGUGCAAACUGUAAAGUUUGGUGGAGGAGGAAUAAUGGU